rnacentral:rRNA from 1 species
UACAGAGGUCUCAAGCGUUGUUCGGAUUCAUUGGGCGUAAAGGGUGCGUAGGUGGCGCUGUAAGUCGGGUGUGAAAUUUCGGAGCUUAACUCCGAAACUGCAUUCGAUACUGCGGUGCUUGAGGACUGGAGAGGAGACUGGAAUUCAUGGUGUAGCAGUGAAAUGCGUAGAGAUCAUGAGGAAGACCAGUGGCGAAGGCGGGUCUCUGGACAGUUCCUGACACUGAGGCACGAAGGCUAGGGGAGCGAAUGGG